UACGUAGGGUGCGAGCGUUGUCCGGAAUUAUUGGGCGUAAAGAGCUCGUAGGCGGUCUGUCGCGUCGAUCGUGAAAAACUUGGGGCUUAACCCUGAGCUUGCGGUCGAUACGGGCAUGACUGGAGUUCGGCAGGGGAGACUGGAAUUCCUGGUGUAGCGGUGAAAUGCGCAGAUAUCAGGAGGAACACCGGUGGCGAAGGCGGUUCUCUGGGCCGAUACUGACGCUGAGGAGCGAAAGCGUGGGGGAGCAAACAGG
rnacentral:rRNA from 1 species